UAGUCUGCAACCCGACUACAUGAAGCUGGAAUCGCUAGUAAUCGCGGAUCAGAAUGCCGCGGUGAAUACGUUCCCGGGUCUUGUACACACCGCCCGUCACACCAUGGGAGUCAGUAACGCCCGAAGCCGGUGACCCAACCGAUAAGGAGGGAGCCGUCGAAGGUGGGACCGAUAACUGGGGUGAAGUCGUAACAAGGUAAC
rnacentral:rRNA from 1 species